GCUCUGCCGGCCCUGCAUGGUUUUCUUCUCAUUUUAAAGGCGCUUGACAACAUAACACUAUGAUUGAACCAUAUCUCAGCACGGAAUUGUUUGUCUUAUAAUGAAUGAAACUGUCGUAGAGGGAAUAACGACAAGUGUGAAUCUCGGAAAAGACAUCGAGGCGAUCGUCACUGGUCUACUGGACAUCUAUCCGCACUCACAUAGCAGCCUGCACCUUUUCAACGGCUCACUUCCGUCACAGUCAGCGACGCCCGUCGGAAGUCCCACCAUGUCCAAACCAGCAGACUAGUGCUUUUCUCGCGUGCGCCAACGCCAGUGGGUGUUUGACACAUCAAGGAGGCGCCUCCGAAAGCGCCAAAUACUUCCUGGGUUGCGUGGUCACCAGUUGCUUGGCGGACUUCCAGCAGGUCGCCUUCAUUGGCGGUGAGAAGUGUACGACCUGCAUACACAACCAGAUACAUGACCCCAGCAACAUCGUCCCCAAUUGUGCCCCUUUGACCCUACCAGUCCACUGGGGGCCAAGAACACCAACGGGCUGCUGAUGCUCUCCAAGCUGAAGUUCACCACACGAAGGACCGUGGACUUCUACCCUAACAUCCUUGAGCUGGUUGUUCGAGGGUAUUUGGAAGCAAAGAUUGAAGACAAAUUCACUGCCGUGUGUACUCACUACUCACCCAAGCCCUUCUGGCUCCGCACCCAAUGCCGAACCGUCAAUGCAGAGCUUCUUUAACACAUACCUCAAGCAAAGUGCAUACGAGAUCGAUCAGCUCAUCUCGCAGUUCCGCGACGUCAAGCCGGCGGUAUUGAUGGGGGAUUUCAACGUGAACGGUCGCGAUACACCGGCAGGCAGCGGCCAUGACCAGUUCCUGAGCCUCAUCUCUGUAUUCAACACGGAUGUUUCGCAAGUGUGUUCAUUCUGUCCGUCUACUGAGAACGUCUACAACGUCAACGAAACGUCUUCCGAAAAGGUCUAUGACUUCGUAUUCGGAAAUGGCUUCCAGAUCUUCAACACUGAGCGCGUUUUCACCCCCAACAGAGAAAACUGGACCAUUCAGCACAAUGGUCGGGAUGUUCCACUCAGUUCUCACUUUGGAAUCACUGGGGAGUUCAAAAACUUCACGAGCGGGUGUACCAUCCAGUUGAAAUCGUGCGACGUGAAAGAAGUUUAUCAAUCUGUUUAGAAAAGAAUCCUUACGAAUAUAUUACAAUAUAUGUCUUCAACCGCUGUUUCAUAAUAAUUUUACCUUGUUUCAUUUAGUAUUUGUUGGCGUAAUACCUGUAUAUUAAAUCGGCAUUCAUGUGUAUAAAUAUUUUGCAACGCAAGAAUCAAUUAACUCAAUUCUUUAAAGAGAAAUAGCGUUAAGUGAAUUUUAAUUUAAGUUCAUUUAAAAAAUUUAAUGGCAUUAAAAUGUAUGACAUUAUAGUCUGUGGACGGUUGGUUUAAAUGACUUACACUAUGAAUAUUG